GUAAAUUAAGUGCCAGCAGCUGGGGUAAUACGUAGGAUCGAAGGGGUGUCCGGAUUUACUGGGUGUGAAGGGUGCGCAGGCGUACUGGGGGGUCUGGGGGGAAAUCUCGCCGCUUAACGGUGAAACUGACUUAGAUACUAUCAGGCUUGGAUAAGCGAGAGGUUCGUGGAAUUCCGAGUGUAGCAGUGAAAUGUGUAGAUAUUCGGAAGAACACCAGUGGCGAAGGCAGCGAACUGGCGCUUUAUCGACGCUCAUGCACGAAAGCAUGGGGAUCAAACAGGAUUAGAUACCCGUGUAGUC
rnacentral:rRNA from 1 species